GCAGCCGACACACCUGUGCCUAAUCGUCCGUCCAGUUGACGCUAAUUAUCCUACAGUUGAAGCUGAGGUAUUUAAGGGUGUGUCCAGACGGCAGUCGACGCUGGAUUGUACUCUAAGCCUGGAGCUGGAGGACGGAGUGGAUGGUCGGGAGAAGAGAAGCUCAGUUUGGAUAAUCACUUUGGAAACCGAACUGCACGGUCACCGGGAGUAAGGAGGAGAACGCUAACGGGGACUUUGUGCACUACUGUUUUUUCAUAUUGGAACUGUCAUUUGUGAGCAAUGUAAAUAAACCGCACUGUCUGCA